rnacentral:pre_miRNA from 1 species
CGCCUCUUGAUCUACUGUUCAGUCAUUAUGAAGGUGAGCUGCUUGAUGACUGAAGCACUAGAUCAAGA